rnacentral:rRNA from 1 species
UACGUAGGUGGCAAGCGUUGUCCGGAUUUAUUGGGUUUAAAGGGUGCGUAGGCGGUUUUCUAAGUCAGCAGUGAAAUACGGCAGCUCAACUGUCGAGGUGCUGUUGAUACUGGGGAACUUGAGUACAGACGAGGUAGGCGGAAUUGACGGUGUAGCGGUGAAAUGCUUAGAUAUCGUCAAGAACACCGAUAGCGAAGGCAGCUUACUAGGCUGUAACUGACGCUGAGGCACGAAAGUGUGGGGAUCAAACAGG